rnacentral:rRNA from 1 species
UACGAAGGGGGGCUAGCGUUGUUCGGAAUUACUGGGCGUAAAGCGUGUGCAGGCGGGUGAACAAGUGGUGUAUGAAAGGUUUCGGCUCAACCGAGAUAGGUUAUGCCAGACUGUUUACCUAGAGUGUGAGAGAGGGACGUGGAAUUCCGGGUGUAGUGGUGAAAUGCGUAGAGAUGUGGAGGAACACCGAUGGCGAAGGCAGCCCCCUGGGUCAAGAUUGACGCUCAUGCACGAAAGCGUGGGGAGCAAACAGG